CAAUGUAAUAAGAGGAACAUGUUCAUCAUAGGGAGAGCCAAUGGAAGGUUUUGUUGUGUUUUAAACUACAUUCAUUAGAGCAGGUUUUUCUGGAUCUUUGAGUUUAUGUUCUUUGACACCGAAGGCGCUUCUCCAGUCUUACAGAUGAUAGUCUCCAAAUUCUCAAAUUGUUUCCAAGCUUCAACUGAUUUUGCCUAUUCCUGCACUAAACGAACAUGCACAGUGUAAAGGCAUUAGGGAAAAAAUAUCCCCAACUUCUUUCAGGUAGGAGCUGUAUGAUAAUCAAUAAUUACAAGAAUUUGUCAUGAUCUAAUUUAUUGGCCAAAAAAGAAAAGGUAUUUUAGAC
rnacentral:lncRNA from 1 species